GAUGAACGCUGGCGGCGUGCCUAAUACAUGCGAGUCGAGCGAACAGACGAGGAGCUUGCUCCUCUGACGUUAGCGGCGGACGGGUGAGUAACACGUGGAUAACCUACCUAUAAGACUGGGAUAACUUCAGGAAACCGGAGCUAAUACCGGAUAAUAUAUUGAACCGCAUGGUUCAAUAGUGAAAGACGGUUUUGCUGUCACUUAUAGAUGGAUCCGCGCCGCAUUAGCUAGUUGGUAAGGUAACGGCUUACCAAGGCAACGAUGCGUAGCCGACCUGAGAGGGUGAUCGGCCACACUGGAACUGAGACACGGUCCAGACUCCUACGGGAGGCAGCAGUAGGGAAUCUUCCGCAAUGGGCGAAAGCCUGACGGAGCAACGCCGCGUGAGUGAUGAAGGUCUUCGGAUCGUAAAACUCUGUUAUUAGGGAAGAACAAAUGUGUAAGUAACUAUGCACGUCUUGACGGUACCUAAUCAGAAAGCCACGGCUAACUACGUG
rnacentral:rRNA from 1 species